ACGAUUACCGCGUAUGCUCAAAAUAUACAGGUUUACAUAGAUAGAUUUAACUCCUCCUUUUGGAAAAACAUAACAAUUGAAGUGAACCAAAGCAAAAAGCAAACAGUGAUUAAACAUUUUGGAAAUGUGAUUAAAUUACUUAAGUUCCUUGAAGGAAUGUUAAGCUGCAAUUAGUAAGUAUUAGCUAUUGCAAUAAGUAUUAAUCUAAGGA